AAGAUUUGCACCUAUGAAAAUCAAGAGCAAAAAUGACCAAACAUUCACAGAGCUGGAUUAUUAUUUUUAAGUGUUCAAUUACAAUAAUGAAUCAUCUAAUACAGGAAACCAGCUUGAAUGACUUUUUCCUUGUUUUUGUUUUGGGAGCCUAUUAUUUCAGUUGUCAAGAGAUAUUUGCCAAGAAGCAAGCUGGUGUUCUGCUGAAAGCAGUAUUUAUAAGAGCCCUGUGAUUUCUGUCUCAACAAGACAAUUUGCAAACAUGCUAAGGCUAUAAAAUGUCCAACUGGACCAAAGGA